UCAGUUUUAAAAUGUCACUUUGUUGGGAACAAUUUUCAUAGAGUGAUCAGAAGUGAAGAUAAACAUAACCACAAUAUCACCACUUAAUCAGAUCAGUCCUUGCGGGAGGGCGGGGGAGGGGGCUCGGUGUUAGGCUUCUGCCCAUUUGAUCUCAGACCCAGGCAGCCCUCUCCGCCCACCCCCGAAUCACGAGGAACUACAUCUCCCAGGCUCCCUUGCAGUCCGCUUCCUGGUAGGUUGGGCCAGUUGCAGACCCUGACAGAAGGUCGGAAGGUGGAGGAAGGCAGAGGCCGCAGCAUCUGUCUCCCUCCGCUUUGGGAAGCAACUCCGCUGUAUCUUCGAGUGUCCAGCCCCUCGGAAGUUCCCGUUUCCGCUGGGUGGUCCUGGAUCCUGGACUCUGGUGCAGCCUAAUUCCCCUCUCCUGGACCAGGAGGCAGAACUGGCUUUGUGACUCACCUCUGUCUAAGAAUGUGGCAAAUGUGACAAUGUGUGACUUCUGAUGUUAAGUCAUAAAAGCCAUCAAGCACACCAUCCUGGAAGUGGCUGCUCUGGCCCCAGUUAAGCCCUCGGAUGAGAGCAGCCCUUGCCAAUAUUUUGACUACAACUCAUGAGAGACCCUGCAUCAGAACUGCUCAGCCAAGCUGCUCUCAACUUCCAGAUCUGCAGAAACUACAAAAGAUAAUGGUUUUAUUUUUAAGUAAUCUCUACACCCAACAUGGUGGGGCUCCAACUUACAACCCCAAGAUCAAGACUCACGUGCUUUACAGACUGAGCCAGCCAGGCGCUCCUAGAAAUGUAAUUCUUAGCCCUGUCACUCAUUAAGAGGCAGGCUGUCCCCAAACCACCGCGAGAUGGCCACCAGCAGCCUCAGGCUUCCAGCCGAGUUUUGCAUCAACCACAUGGGAAGAACAAUGAACCAAAUGAAACAUUACCUCUUCUAAGAGGUCCAGGAGGAACACCUGGGUGGCUCAGUCGGUUAAGCGUCCGACUUCGGCUCGGGUCAUGAUCUCGCGGUUCGUGGGUUCGAGCCCCGCGUCGGGCUCUGGGCUGACAGCUCGGAGCCCGGAGCCUGCUUCGGAUUCUGUGUCUCCCUCUCUCCCUCUGCCCCUCCCCACUCAUGUUCUGUCUCUCUCUCUCUCAAAAAUAAACAUUAAAAAAAAAAAAGGAAAAAGAAAAGAGGUCCAGGAAAAGUGUCAUGGAAUGUCACUGGACUGUCUGAAGUCAGUCCCUGCCCAUUCCUGAGGCAACCACUAGGCCCACGGGUUGGCUAAUGCGGGCUGGUCAGGCCUGGGUUUCUCCUUCCCAGGAACCAGGGAGGAGGUGGGGGGGCGGGGGGGCGGUUCCCCUGAAGAAGACGAGAAAAAUGGGGUGGAUCCUAGGAGGGGAAACAAUACAUGUGCCCCCUCCAGUCACUGGCCUGUGAGCUCCUCGAGGGCAGGGACUUCUGCCCUAAGUUAUCUUUGCACUCCCAGAGCCCCUGCUGGGUGACAAAGCUAGCCAAUGGCUGCGAGCUUCCCGACUGGAUAAAUCCCUUUUCCCUUUUCCCUCUUCUGUCCCACUCUCUCCUGGAGUCUGGUUCAUCUCCCAGAAACAAGAAGUUCUGUGAAGAGAUAAAGAUUCCUACAAAGUGAUCUGGGCUUUCAGAGGAAAGUACUGUUUUUACCCCAGGCACAACAAGAAGGCGGAGAUACCUCCGAAGUUCCUCAGUUAAUGAAUGGAUAAGCAAAGGUGGUCUAUGCACACAAUGGAAUAUGAUUCAGCCAUGAAAAGGAAUAAUGCAGUGACCCACACUAUAAAGCAGAUGAACUUGAAGACAUUAUGCUCAGUGAAAGAAGCCGGUCACAAAAGACCAGGUAUUAUAUGAUUCCAGUUACGUGAAAUAUUCACAAUAGGUAAAUCCAUAGAGACAGAGAGUAGAUUAGUGGUUACCUCGGGCUGUGAUGCGGAGUAGGGAGGAAACGGGGAGUCACUGCUAAAACGGUUUCUGUUUAAAACAGUGAAAAUGUUCUGGAAUGAGAUGGGGUGAUGGUUGCAUGUAAAUACACUGAAGAUCACGGAAUUGUACCUUUAAAUGUGUGGAUCUGAAGACACGUGAACUAUAUUUCAAUAAAGUUGUUUAAAACAAA